UACGUAGGGUGCAAGCGUUGUCCGGAAUUAUUGGGCGUAAAGAGCUUGUAGGCGGUUUGUCGCGUCUGCUGUGAAAUUUCGGGGCUCAACCCCGAACUUGCAGUGGGUACGGGCAGACUAGAGUGUGGUAGGGGAGACUGGAAUUCCUGGUGUAGCGGUGAAAUGCGCAGAUAUCAGGAGGAACACCGAUGGCGAAGGCGGGUCUCUGGGCCGAUCUGACGCUGAGGAGCGAAAGCAUGGGGAGCGAACAGG
rnacentral:rRNA from 1 species